ensembl:snRNA Gm25284 U4 spliceosomal RNA
AGCGUUGUACAUUGGUAGUGUUAUAGCCAGUGACAUUUAUCUGAGGUGCAAUUAUAGCUAACUGAAAACGUUUCCGGAUACCCUGCUGUCAUAACUUGAAAUAUAGUUGGCAUUGACAAUUUUUGAUAGUUUCUAUAGAAA